GCCUACGGGGCGCAGCAGUGAGGAAUAUUGGUCAAUGGGAGAGAUCCUGAACCAGCCAAGCCGCGUGAGGGAAGACGGCCCUAUGGGUUGUAAACCUCUUUUGUCGGAGAACAAAACCCGGGACGAGUCCCGGACUGCGUGUAUCCGAAGAAAAAGCAUCGGCUAACUCCGUGCCAGCAGCCGCGGUAAUACGGAGGAUGCGAGCGUUAUCCGGAUUUAUUGGGCGUAAAGGGAACGCAGGCGGUCCUUUA
rnacentral:rRNA from 1 species